GACGAACGCUGGCGGCGUGCUUAACACAUGCAAGUCGAACGGAAAGGCCCUGCUUUUGCGGGGUGCUCGUUAGGCGAACGGGUGAGUAACACGCGAGUAACCUGUCCUUGUCUUUGGGAUAACUUCUGGAAACUGGGGCUCAUAUCGCAUAGGAGCUCCUGCUGCAUGUUGGGGGUUGGUAAGUUUUGGCGGUUGGGGAUGGUCUCGCGGCUUAUCAGCUUGUUGGUGGGGUAGGGGCUUACCAAGGUUUUGACGGGUAGCCGGCCUGAGCGGGGGACCAGCCACAUUGGGACUGCGGUACGGAGCAGACUCCUACGGGAGGCAGCAGUGGGGAAUAUUGCGCAAUGGGCGGAAGCCAGAUGCAGCGACGCCGCGUGCGGGAUGACGUCCUUCGGGUUGUAAACCGCUGUCGCCUUUGACGAGGCGUGAGUGACGGUAAUGGGUAAAGAAGCACCGGCUAACUACGUG
rnacentral:rRNA from 1 species